AUUGAACGCUGGCGGAAUGCUUUACACAUGCAAGUCGAACGAUGAACCUUAGCUUGCUAAGGGGAUUAGUGGCGAACGGGUGAGUAAUGUAUCGGAACGUAUCCAAUAAUGGGGGAUAACUAGUCGAAAGAUUAGCUAAUACCGCAUACGUCCUACGGGAGAAAGCUAGGGACCUUCGGGCCUGGCGUUAAUGGAGCGGCCGAUAUCUGAUUAGCUAGUCGGUGGGGUAAAGGCUCACCAAGGCGACGAUCAGUAGCUGGUAUGAGAGGACGACCAGCCACACUGGAACUGAGACACGGUCCAGACUCCUACGGGAGGCAGCAGUGGGGAAUUUUGGACAGUAGGCGAAAGCCUGAUCCAGCCAUUCCGCGUGAGUGAAGAAGGCCUUCGGGUUGUAAAGCUCUUUCGCAAGGGAAGAAAACUUAAGCUCUAACAUAGCUUGAGGUUGACGGUACCUUGAUAAGAAGCACCGGCUAACUACGUGCCAGCCGCCGCCGUAA
rnacentral:rRNA from 1 species